GAUGGACGCUGGCGGCGUGCUUAACACAUGCAAGUCGAACGGGGCACCCUUGACGGAGUUUUCGGACAACAGAGAGGACUGCCUAGUGGCGGACGGGUGAGUAGCGCGUGAGGAACCUGCCUUGGAGAGGGGAAUAACACAUGGAAACGUGUGCUAAUACCGCAUGAAAUAGUUGGAUCGCAUGGUCUGACUAUCAAAGAUUUAUCGCUCUGAGAUGGCCUCGCGUCUGAUUAGCUAGUAGGUGGGGUAACGGCCCACCUAGGCAACGAUCAGUAGCCGGACUGAGAGGUUGACCGGCCACAUUGGGACUGAGACACGGCCCAGACUCCUACGGGAGGCAGCAGUGGGGAAUAUUGCACAAUGGGGGAAACCCUGAUGCAGCGACGCCGAGUGAGGGAAGAAGGUUUUCGGAUUGUAAACCUCUGUCCCGGUUGAAGAUAAUGACGGUAGACCGGGAGGAAGCUACGGCUAAUUACGUGCCAGCCGCCGC
rnacentral:rRNA from 1 species